GGUCCAAGCUUGUCAAUUUUUAAAUAUUUGACAUAAGCCAGACAUCUCCAAACCCUAAGAUGAGAGAGUACUAGCUCACGUGCUGUCCAUAUUUCAUAUGGUAUUUUAUUUAUGGACUUGCCCAAAAUUUUAUUUAAAAUAUAAUAAGCCAAUUCGAGUGUAUAUCUUCAAAAGAAGAUCGACAUACUUGCAAAGCCCAUCAUGGAUCGAGCUAUAUCUAAUAGGAUUUG
rnacentral:lncRNA from 1 species